rnacentral:rRNA from 1 species
CGCCUGUUUAUCAAAAACAUGUCCUUUUGUUGAUUUAUUUAAGGUUUAACCUGCCCAAUGAUUUAUUUAAUGGCCGCGGUAUUUUAACCGUGCUAAGGUAGCAUAAUCACUUGUCUUUUAAUUGAGGGCUAGAAUGAAAGGUUGGACGAGGUAUUAUCUUUCUUUAAUUUAAUUAUUGAAUUUAAUUUUUAGGUUAAAAAGCUUAAAUUUAUUUGUUGGACGAGAAGACCCUAUAGAUCUUAACAUUUAAUUUAAUUGUGGUUUUUAGUGAUUAAUAUAUUAUUAUUAAUCAUGUGUUUGAUUGGGGUGAUUGUAGAAUUAUAAUAACUUCUAUUUGUGUUUUUCAUUAAUUAGUGUUUUAUUGAUCCAUUUAUAAUGAUUAUAAGAUUAAGUUACCUUAGGGAUAACAGCGUAAUUUUUUCGGAGAGUUCAUAUCGAUGAAUAAGUUUGCGACCUCGAUGUUGGAUUAAAAUUAGUUGUGGGUGAAGAAGUUCAUGGACUAGGUCUGUUCGACCUUUAAAUUUUUACAUGAUCUGAGUUCAAACCGGAG